AUGCUUACCUGGCAGGGGAGACACCAUGCUCAGGCAGGUGGUUUUCCCAGGGCGAGGCUCAUCCCUUGCACUCCGGGUGUGCUGACCCCUGCGAUUUCCCCAAAUGCGGGAAAAACGACUGCAUAAUUUGUGGUAGUGGGGGACUGCGAUCGUGCUCUCCCCUG
ensembl:snRNA U1 U1 spliceosomal RNA